rnacentral:tRNA from 1 species
GCCGAAGUGGCGGAAUUGGCAGACGCGCCAGAUUCAGGUUCUGGUCGCUUUAAACGGCGGUGCAGGUUCAAGUCCUGUCUUCGGCA